GUUAGGAAUAUUGGACAAUGGGCGCAAGCCUGAUCCAGCCAUGCCGCGUGAACGAUGAAGGCCUUCGGGUUGUAAAGUUCUUUAGCCGAUGAUUAUAAUGACUGUAGUCGGAAAAUAAGCCCCGGCUAACUUCGUGCCAGCAGCCGCGGUAAUACGAAGGGGGCGAGCGUUAUUCGGAAUCACUGGGCGUAAAGCGUGCGUAGGCGGUCUCGUAAGUUAGGAGUGAAAGCCCAGGGCUCAACAUUGGAAUUGCUCUUAAAACUGCAAGGCUAGAAUCUCGGAGAGGAUAGCGGAAUUUCCAGUGUAGAAGUGAAAUGCGUAGAUAUUGAAAGGAACACCAGUGGCGUAAGCGGCUAUCUGGACGAGUAUUGACGCUGAGGCACGAAAGCGUGGGGAUCAAACAAGAUUAGAUACCCUAGUAGUCC
rnacentral:rRNA from 1 species